rnacentral:rRNA from 1 species
UACGAGGGGAGCUAGCGUUGUUCGGAAUUACUGGGCGUAAAGGGCGCGCAGGCGGCCGGGUGUGUCAGAUGUGAAAUCCCGAGGCUCAACCUCGGAACUGCGUCUGAAACUACUCGGCUAGAGUAUUGGAGAGGGUAACGGAAUUCACGGUGUAGCAGUGAAAUGCGUAGAUAUCGUGAGGAACACCAGAGGCGAAGGCGGUUACCUGGACAAUUACUGACGCUCAGGCACGAAAGCGUGGGGAGCAAAAGGG